AACCCUACGCUGAGUUACCAGCACGUAAAGGUGGGGACUCUCAGUGGACUGCCGGCGACAAGCCGGAGGAGGUGGGGACGACGUCAAGUCAUCAUGGCCCUCAUGUCCAGGGCGACACACGUGCUACAAUGGCCGGCACAACGGGAAGCGACGGCGCGAGUCGUAGCGGAUCCCUCAAAGCCGGUCCCAGUUCGGAUUGCAGUCUGCAACUCGACUGCAUGAAGUUGGAAUCGCUAGUAAUCGCGGACUCAGCCAAAGCCGACGGUGAAUACGUUCCCGGGCCUUG
rnacentral:rRNA from 1 species